GUGUUUGAGGGUUACAACAAGGCAUAAGCCUGGGCUCGAGAGUUGUCGGCGAGAUUCCUAGUUCUAGCAACCCUAAGACGACUAAACCUAAUUGAGUCGCAGCUCGAAAUAACAAAAACGGAAAUAUGCCUAAAUUGCUCUACGUGCUAAGUUUGCUCUGAUAAAGUUCUCCUCCCAUUGCCUCUCGCCUAGGACUCCUUAUAUACCCACUCCAAGGUCGGUUUACGCUUUUACUCUUCUGCCCUUAAGCCGUCAUAGCAAAAAAUAAAGAUAUUCCACUUUUUCCGAUCUUCGUAAUUAUCUUCAAAAUUCCGUAUUUAUCCGCGGAAACUUGACAUUUAUCUUCCCUUGCGAACCAAGCGUAAACCGUCCUAUGGUUUACGGGCUUUUGGUUGAGAAAUCGCGAGAUGGGCCUCGAGUCGUGUCUUAGGUCCCUUUGGGCCGUCUUUCGACUCGAAACGUUUAUCGCGAUUUCUUUCGAUAAAGAAUGGACUUUCCGCGGUUUUUUCCGCAAAGUUUGAUCGAUGAUUUAGAAUGGCGGAAAACAUGAGCUGAGUUCGCCAUGGUCUUCGGUAGAUAGUGUCGAAGGAUAGACGAGAAUGCAUGGACUGGUGUCGUAUCGAUGUUUCGGAAGAGUUCGGUCGCUACAUAACGACCGAACAGAACGCACGCUCGGUUGUGCACAAUGACCGAGCUUGGUUUUUCCGUGUUCUUAUUGUCAUACUCGAACUUAUCCGUAAUUGGUUUGGGUAUGUUUCCGAUGGCUUAUGUUUGAUCUAAAUGAAGUUCGAGAUGAAACUUCAUCUCGAAAAGCUAUGUUGCGGAGAGUCAUACAUAUAUAUUGCGGGGAUUUGGACGUUAACUUCGUCGUGACCGUUUUUGACCCCAAUAGGGUUUCUGGUGCUGCGAACUCUGGUUGAAGUUGCCCCUAUUUCCAUAGGAGUUUCUGUUUCGACCCUGGUUUCCAUAACCUUGGAAUCAUGUUCCACUGAUGAAGUUCACAUCUGCUUCCUCUGUUCUACCCUAUGUGUCCACAGCCUCUGUUUCGACCCUGGUGACUUUGCUCUCUCAAAUUAGAGAUUCAAUUGUAGUACUUAGGGAUCGAAUCCACAAGGAGCUAGGGAACCUAAUAAAUCUAUUAGGGUUUGUUAAGUAGGAUGGUUUAAUGAUUUAAAUGUAAAUUUAAAAGGAAAUUACUCCAUUGAUUUGUUGAGGUUUUGGUGCUUAAAAGGAAAUAGCUAGACCUAGAGUUUUUAUUCGGAAAACUUGGAAUUAUAAUCCUACAAAUGCCUAAUGAGUUGUAUGCAUGAUAAUGUAGAGCUCAACUACUAAAUAUAAAGUCAAUCAGCUCUCGCGUUUCUGGACUGGUCUAUUAAUUAGAUCUAAUGACCCAAACAAGCGUGUUCGAUCAAUAGCUAGUGUCGAUCGAUAAUCCUAUAGGGAUAUCGAUUGAUAUACCUUUCACUCCGUCGAUCGAUACUCCUUUCACUUCGUCGAUCGAUUAUCCAAUUUGGAUAUCAAUCGACGCGCUUCUAGUUAAGCUUGAUGCGCGGGUUGAAUGAUGCUCACAAAGCUCACUAGAUCAGCUCUCGCCUUACUCUUGCAAGAAUCUUAGCUCAAUUAUAAUGGUUUCAAGAUGAGAAUGAAGUUAUUGCUUUUAUCGAACAAUCAUAGGGCAAGUUCUAGGUAGCUAAUCUAGAAUCAGGCAUUAAGGACAAUCCUAAUAAUUAUUAUCACAACUCAGCUAUCUAUAGUUGGGGCUAAUCCCUGAUAACCUAUUUAAACCCUAAAAUGUAACAAUGGAACUACUGAGACAUGGCCAAGCAUUUCAUAACUUCAAUUAGGUAAGAAAACUUCAUUAGCAUAGUAAAUAGACAUUAAUGGAGUUCCAAUCACAAAUAUAACUUUGGAUCUUCUCUCCACUCUAUCAAAAUCUUAAAAACCUUUUGCUAAUAAUAGUAAAACUAGAAAAAGAAGAAAACAAAUUUUUCCUCUAACCUGGUGGCAAAGCUUAUAUAAUUAGGCUAAAACUCGUCAAGGGUAAUCUUGUAAAUUGGUGAAGACUUGGGCUUCAAGUCGGCUGUGACCAAACAUGCUUUAUGUGCGCUUCGCUGUCGAUCGAUGUUAUGAUGUGAACAUCGAUCGAUAUUUCCCUCAGUAUCGACCGAUGGUCGAGCUCGAUGGUCAUCUCGGGUGCUUGCUCCAAAUAUCUUCAAAAUGCUCCAAAAUCAUCACUUAUUUCCAAAUUACUCCUGAUCUUACAAAUAUAAUAAAUAGACUCUAUAAUAUAAUAAUUAGUAGUAAAAACACCUGUAAACAAUGGGUCAAAUCCAUGGUCUAUAAAACACCAAGAACACUGACUUUGAGAGAAAAAAAAUAAGCCCCUGCCCUAGGGAAGGAUCAAUUGGAAGUUGUCAAAGCCAAGCUGGACAGUGUUCACAAGCUUGUCAAGAAACAAGUUAGCUUUACAGAGGAUGUAGAAGCUGUUGAUGUCAACAGCGACAUGGGAGAAGAAGAGGAUGUGAACUUUAUCAAUGGUUCAGGCUUUCAGAAUCAGAGGUGAAGUGAUCCUUGGUAAGAUGAUCACGUCCUUGAAUGCUCUCCAACGAUUGUAAUGAUGAAAAUAGGCAGUGGAUUGAUUUGAUACUUCUAAGAGUUGCGGAAUUGGCUCUCAGACUAUCGGAUUUAGUUGUAAUGUAAGGAUCGAAGAUCCGAAUUACACUAGACAAGAUGUGAUCAAUCAAGAUUCAGAGAAUGCUUUGAAAAGAAAAUAGUUUGAUAAUCUUAUUGAGUUUUCGACCAGAUAUAUAAAGAGAAGAAGACUUUACAUGCACAGCUUCUUGGAAACACACAACUUAAUUAAUGCAAAUAAAGCUUAAAGUUCAAAUUUAAAAGAUAAGCUUAUGGAUCCUUCUUUAUGGACGAAAAUUAGAAGAGAGUUGGGCCUGGUUUCAUCAAAAGGCUCAUGUGUAGUGUUGUGUCCAAGCCUCAUUAAAAACCUUGUUUGGAAAACCCAGUUGGACAAAACCAAACUAAGGAUAAGAGUGCAAGUCACAACACCUCUCUAGAUGAAUGAGCUAGGCGGCUUGAAUCACAACUAGUAAGGUUGGAUCAUCAGUUUUCCACUCAUCACCCUUUUUCAUUCUAACCUGGUGAUAUGCACUUUUCAAAUCAACUUUAGAAAAUAUGCUAGAACCAUGCAACUCAUCAAGCAUAUCAUCUAAUUUAGGAAUGGGAUGUCGAUACUUUACAGUGACAUUAUUGAUGGCUUUGCAGUCGACACACAUUCUCCAGCUACCAUCUCUCUUUAGUACAAGCAAGACUGGGACUGCACAUGGACUCAUGCUCUCACAAAUAUGUUUUUUCUCCAUAAGCUCAGUUACUUGUUUCUGUAGUUCCUUGGUCUCCACAGGGUUAGUCCUAUAGGCUGGGUUGUUUGGAAGUGAAGCUCUUGGAAUAAAAUCGAUUUGAUGCUCUAUCCCUCUGAUAGGUGACGUCCUUGUGGUGCUUCUUCUGGAAGAUGUCUUUGAAUUUCUGCAAAAGCAUUUGUAUCUUGCUAGGAAGAUCCUGCACUAGCCUUGUUAUGUUUAAACAUUCUUUAAAAACAAACAGCAAGUGAGGUAAAGAACUUCCCUUUGGUUGAAGCAAUAGAUUAGCAAGUCGUUUACUCUUGAAUUCUGAUGAAGCUUUGUUCUUCUUCAAAGCUAUCUGAUCUUGAUGGACUUGUUGCAGUGUUAAAGGAACUAAGACAGUCUUCUUUCCCUGUUUGUGAACUCAUCAUGAAGACUUCUUCUAUCGGAUUGCCAAGGUCUUCCAAGCAGUAUGUGUCCAGCAUCCAUUGGUAAACAUCACACAAUAUCUCAUCAUCAUACUUCCCAAUAGGUGGUAUCUUGACUUGGUGUUUCACCUCCAGCUCUCCUUCAUCAUUAAGCCAUUGUAACUUGUAGGUUGUUGGUGUUUUCAUGAUCUUCAGAUCAAGUUUCUCAACCAUCGUUUCACUUGCAGCAUUGGUACAACUUCCUCCAUCUAUAACCAAACUGCACACCUUGCCUUGAACCAUACAUCGAGUAUGAAACAGAUUUGCUCUUUGCUCAUCUCCAACAGUCUUGGCUUGCAGAUUCACCGUUCUUCUUGCGACAAGUAACUCUCCACGAUCUGGCAUUUCCACCCUUUCUUCUUCAGAUUCAGAUUGUUCCUCUUCCUCUGAUUCAAUUUCUCCAUUUUCUCUGAUGAGUAUUACCCUUUGGUUGGAGCAGCUACUUCCAUUGUGUCCAAAACCUUUACACUUGUAACACUGUAUGUCAAUGGUUUUAGAUGCAUGUUGGGGUCAAAAAUGGUUACGACGGAAUUACCAUCCGAAAAUCCUCAGAGAUCGUAUUUUCGAAAGGGUUAAAGAAGGGAUGUAAUUUUUCGUCGAAAUAAACUAUACGAGGUUAUUUCUACGAAGAAGUAUUCUUUGGGAUUCAAACCAAACGAUCGUCCCGCUCGGUCGCUACGUAGCAACCAAGCUCAAGCCAAAGCUCGGUCGCUACGUAGCGACCGAGCAAUCGUUUCGCUCGGUCGCUACAUAGCGACCGGGCUCGAGCCAAAGUUCGGUCGCUGUGUAGCGAUUGAACCUUUCCGAACAUCGAUACGACACCAGUCCUUGCAUUCUCGUCAAACCUUCGAAUGCUAUCUCCCGAAGACCGUAGCAAGCUCAGUCUAUGUUUCCCGCUAUUCUAAUUCAUCGAUCAAACUUCGCGGAUUAGAAACCGCGGAAAACUCGUAGUAAACGUGUCGAGUCGGAAGACGGCCCAAAGGGACCUAAAACACGACUCGAGGCCCAUCCUACGAUUUUUCCUAACCAAAAGCCCGUGAACCACAGCAUGGUUCGCGCUUGGCCCGCGAGGAAGGAUAAAUGUCAAGUUUCCGCGGAUAAAUACGGAAGUUUUGAAGAUAAUUGUGAAGAUCGGGAAAAAUGGAAUAUCUCCAUUUUUAUGCUAUGACGGCUUAAGGGCAGAAGAGUAAAAGCGUAAACCGACCUUGGAGCUAGUAUAUAAGGAGUCCUAGGCGAGGAGCAGAGGAGAGAACUUUUUCAGAGCAAACUUAGCACUUAGAGCAAUUUAGGCAAUUUUCCGUUUUUGUUAUUUCGAGCUGCGACUCAAUUAGGUUUAGCCGUCUUAGGGUUGCUAGAACUAGGAAUCUCGCCGACAGCUCUCGAGCCCAGGCUUAUACCUUGUUGUAACGCUCAUACGCAGAUUCGGAAUAAGAUCUACUUUGCUCUCUUUUCGAUUUCUUAUUUUUAUCGUUGUUAUUCUCGUGUUCUGAUUGCUUGACGUGUGGUAAUUAACAGAUAUCCGGGUCCUCUGGGAAACUAGGGUUUUCUUAGUUUCCUUAUUUAAACGGAAAUCGACAGUGCGAAUUUCGGUUCCCACAGUUUGGCGCUAGAAGGAGGGGGCCUUACGGAUCAAUCUAACCCGCAAAAGCCACACACAAUCAGACAUGUCAACCAACGACGCGGAUAACGUGCAAACUCCUCUUAACGGAGGCAGCGGCACCGAUCUCCACACUCCAGUAGCGGACGUAUCCGCGGCCAACGCACAAGCCAACGCCGCGACGCUCGAGGAGUUUAAAAAGAUGUUCGCCACCUAUGAGAAAAGGUCGGAAGAACAGGAUAAGCUCGUGAAUACCUUGACCAAACAGGUUGAAACCUUAACGGCAAGGACCCAAGCUAUCCGUCCCCGCGGAACCACCAAAAUCCGCGGGAAGAGGCUCGACUUCGCUACCCCACUCGACAGAUCAGGAGUCGCGCGGGAACGACCUUCCGGUCAAAACCCUAGCGAGAAAUCUCCCAUCGAAAAGGGGAACUCUGAAAGUCUUCCGCCCCCUGCAAAGGACUCGGAGGAUAACGAAGCCGAACACAUUGACCUGGAUCCUAGCGAUGUCUCCAACGACACCGACGAGGAUGUCGACAGACAUCCAAGAAGGACCAGAAGCCGAUCCGCUCGGGAAGGCUCCCCGUUCGAAAAACCAAUGACGGAAGAAGAAGAAGUCGCCUAUUGGAACGAACAAGAGGAGCUGGCCGAAAGGCAAACCGAGCUCACUCGCAGUAAGCGCCGACAGGCUCGGAAAUCCACUGACGAGACAUCGGAUAUCCGCGAUCUUCGCGACUACAUCACCAAGACUGCGGCAGAAGUGAGAGCCGUAAAGUCUCAAAUCCAUCAUGCUACUAGUGCUGCCCCCGAGAUCGAUCGACUGCUGGAAGGAGCUCGAAAGACCCCCUUUACCAGUCGCAUUUCGGACAUGAGGGUGUCCGAUCCGGGAAAGAUCAAAGUACCGAAGUACGAUGGUACGGCCGAUCCGAAAGCGCACCUUCAGGCUUUCCACAUCGCGAUGGGAAGAGCAAGACUGAAGGACGGCGAAAAGGAUGCCGGCUAUUGCCGCCUGUUCGUCGAAAAUCUUGAAGGAGCAGCGCUCGAAUGGUUCGCACGCCUUCGUCGCAACACCAUCGGGAGUUUUCGACAGCUCGCAUCGGAAUUCCUCAAACAGUACUCUGUAUUCAUAGACAGGGAAACCUCCGAUGUUGAUCUCUGGAGUCUCUCCCAGAGGGAAGACGAACCCCUCCGCGAGUUUAUCAGUCGGUUCAAACUGAUAAUGUCCAGGGUCAGCGGGAUAAGCGACAAAGUGGCCAUCGACGCGCUGAGAAAGACGCUCUGGUACAAGUCGAAAUUCAGAAAAUGGAUAACUCUCGACAAACCGCGAACGAUCCAGGACGCCCUCCACAAAGCAACGGACUAUAUCAUAGUGGAGGAAGAAACUAAAGUCUUAUCGCAAAAACAUAAGCCGGCAAGACCAUCCUCGAAAGACGCAGAUCCGAAGGGGAAAAAGAAGAACUCUCGUAACGACAAGUACGUCCAUCACGAGGGGGAAGAUCUCCAAGGGGCGCAUAACUAUGCGAUCAAUUCGGAUCAAGGCCGGACCACGGGCAACACAUGGACUCGCAAUCAAGGGUAUGACGAGAACACCUUCUGCGAGUUCCACCAAUCCCGAGGACACUCCACGACUAAUUGCAAAGUCUUAGGAGCAAGACUGGCCGCGAAGCUGCUCGCUGGAGAGCUUUCGGAAGUAACUAGCGUCAAGGAUCUCAUCCUCGAUUCUGAUCGGCCUCCAAAGACGGACAGAAAUCCGCCCGCCGAAAAAUCUCCUCAACGAAACCAACCUGGGGAUAAACGCGGUAGGAGGCCGGAUGACAAAGGGAACGAUAACAAUCGUCGCAGAGUCAAUAUGAUCAUCGGAGGAUCUCAAUACUGCGGCGAUACCGUGUCAGCCAUCAAGGCUUACCAACGGAAGGCAGAAUCAAGCGCAAAUUGGCCUACAUGGUCUCCUCCUCGAGACGGCCAAAGUUGCUCGAUCACCUUCACGGAGGAAGAAGCCGGCGGUAUCGACCAACCUCACUGCGACCCGCUCGUCAUAGAUCUCGUCAUACGAGAUUUAGAAGUCGGAAGGGUACUCGUCGAUACGGGAAGCACGGUCAACGUAAUCUUCCGCGACACUCUCAAGCGGAUGAGUAUCGAACUCGGAGAGGUAAUUCCGACGCCAAAACCACUCACGGGUUUUUCAGGCGAAGUGUCGAUGACUCUCGGAUCAAUCCAAUUGCCAGUCAUGGCCAAGGAGAUCACGAAAAUCGUCGAAUUCGCGGUAGUCGACCAUCCCGCUAUCUACAACGUGAUCAUGGGAACCCCAUGGCUCAACGCCAUGCAGGCAGUUCCGUCAACUUACCACCUGGGUCUCAAGUUCCCAACGCCGAGCGGAGUCGCGGCCAUCUGGGGAUGCCAAAAACAGUCGCGACUAUGCUUCCUCGCGGAGCAUAAGUUAAGGCAAAUCACGGCUUCUGCAAACGGCAAACGCGCGAAGAUAGAUCGAUCUUCGGCCAAAAGCGCCCCGCACAAGGACGAAGUAAAAUCGUCUGUCAACGCAAACGCAUCGGACGUCGAAGCUCGACAUAAAUCCGAAGCCCACGCGACAACUCAACCGGAACAUCCGGAAAAUAGCGUCGACCCAGCCACGAUCGACACGGUCAAGGCGGACAUCGCGACACCAACCGCCGAGUAAGAACACUCGCGGCAUGAAACAGAACUACGAGAUGGCUUGAUCCUCGAAAGGGGUACGUAGGCAGCUUGUCAAAAGACGAGUUCAGCUAUCCCCCUCUCUAAAAAGGGGGGGGGAGUGGGUGCGUAUACUCGUAUACUCCCACAAUCGCCAUUAUUGUAAUCGAGUUUUUAGAAACAUAAAAUUUUUUACAAUAUACACUGUCUUUUUAUCGAAAACGCUUACGCUUCAGUUUACGCUCGUCUGCGGCCUCAUCCGGCCCAAAAAUCGUAAAGAUUAUCACCUUUAAUACACGCAUAAUCCUCGAAAAUAACUGCGAGACGUCGCAAAAAGUUAAAAUUCGAGGACAAUGCUAAACAAAUUGUCCGAACGCGACCACCAAAAACCUUACACCCCGUUCGUCGAUUGGCCCCGACGAACACGCCAGCCGUCUUAAACAAACGCAAUCCGAUCACUCUUUUGAUCUUUAAAAACGUCCAGCACAAGGACAAAAGCGCGCUACAACAAAAAUCCGAAAUUUUGGUUUAGCACUUCCAGUUGAUUCUGAGAAGAUGCUCGAUUCGUACCAUACAAGUCAUAUAAGCCGAGAACAUAUCGCGGACUUUAAACCGGUGCGAGUCAGGAAGAAAUCGCAACAGGAAAAACGAUAGCCGGCUAGUCACCGCACAAACCUUAACCGAAAGUAAACCUAGGUCUUGCCCUAAACCCAACGCUCUGGUCUCAAACAUCUCAAGGCAUGAUAUCUAAAAGAUACGAGAUCAUAAACCAUGCCUCUCCGUUCGUAUCUCAAUGUUCUCGAAAAUCGUAAAGACAGAUAAAUUUUUACGAAAAUCACGAACGAACCAACAGAUUGAACGUCUAAUUAGAACUACAUACGAGACGACAACUCGUAUUUACUUCAACCCUACUCAGGAAAAACUCGAAACGAAACAUUUAUCAUAUAAAUAAACCGCGUAAAGCGGCAAGGGAUUCAAAGCCACCAACGGCCAGUCCCGGAAAUACAAAUACGGCCAUCGUGGCCUAAACGAAAUCCAAAUUCAAAGGGCCAUAUUCGGCCGAAAACAAGGAUAACUGAUCCAUCCCUCAUAAUCCAAAGUCGAAGUCCCCGGACAACGAAGCACCAAACGCAUCCGCAGGACGAUCCACUUCCUCGCCACCGCCGUGAAAAUCGAUCGGGACCUCCUCGGUAUCAGGAGAAACCGGGAUGGAAUCCCAGAACCCUUGAAUCCUCUCGUCGAUCGGAGGGAUAAGCGCCUCAGCGUGGGCACGGUCACUCAUCCCACUCUUCAUCAAGCUCAUUUCUUCUUCAAACACAUAGUCGUCGGCUUGCGUCCUCCAAAGACUUCCGACCGAACCACGGCACUCGCGAAAGUCGCCCACCGAGGUAAAGGCAUUCUUAAGAUUCCCGUACUCAACCUGGAACUGAGAUGCGCGAGUCUUCAUCACCUCGACGAUCUCUCUUUUGCCUUUCCUCUCCGAUCUGCGAACAGCCCGCGCAUGAUCACGAGUAAGCUGUGCCUCUCGCUCCAGCAUCUCGCCUUGCACGCGGGCGAGAUCCCGCUCCGCUUUCUCCGCCUUGAAGCGGUAGACCAUGGCUUCUCUAUGACCCGCCUCGAUGGCCGAGCCCAGCAAGCUCAGGCCCUGCAAAAUCAAUAGGCGUGUUACAAAUCCAUACAUAGGACAAUCACUUAAAAAUUCCCAAGAAAAAAACUAACCCCAUUGAUGAUGCGAGAUCCUUCCGCAACAACUCUCGGCCUCGCCGAUUCUUUCGUAGGAGGAGGAGCAUCGAAACCCGAUGGCAGCCCAGCAAAGAAAUCAUCGAAGUCCGGAAUGGGGGCUUCGCUCGAACCGCUUCCGUCGCCGUAAGCAAGGUUCGGAUCCCAUCCUGGAAGCAUAGAGUCAUCCAUCGAAAACUCUAUGUCGCCGAGAUCGACGUCUUUUCCCUUCCAAGAGCUCGACUCCGGCGCGGCUGUCGGAACUUCAACGGGACUCUGGCCGUCGGGUUCGGAGUCGCUUCCCGUAUCCGCGUCCAAAGCUGGACUAGGGUGCACAAAUUUCAGCGCCUUCCGAACCCUUCUCGGCGUGAAAGAAGUCCAGAAGAAGGGACCAUUCCUGAGAAGAUCCCUCACCGCGAUAAUAUCCUCAGGGAACGGAGCAAGAGGAUUGAUGAAGGGACGAUUGUUCGGCAACCUCCGGAACAGUGGAAUGCAACUCUCUUCGACGGACGCAGCGUCCAAACGAACAAAGAAAAAGAACUUCUUCCACGAGUUGAAGUUCGAAAUGAACUUCUUAACCACCGACAUAAAUUUCCGAGGGACAAACCUAUGCUUAUCCGUAUCCUUGACAAGUUGAAGCCUCAAAAGCGCUUCAUAAUGAUCGACGGAAAGGGAAAGGCCAUGCUCAUAGCUUAGGAUCAAGAUCCCAAUAAGGUGCUGAAUGGCAAGGGGUGUCAACUGACUUAUCGCGACUUCAAAACGGUCCAACACUCGGACGAGAAUUUCGGGUAUGGGGAACCAGAGGCGACAACGCACUAUGAACACCUCAUAACAAGUAAAGUAACCCUCCGGGGGGUUGUUAGCACAUUCCCCGCGGCAGGGAACCCGGAACUACACAACAUCCGGGAUGUGGUAGAACGACCGCAUCGUCGCGAGAAACUCGUCAGUNNNNNNNNNNNNNNNNNNNNNNNNNNNNNNNNNNNNNNNNNNNNNNNNNNNNNNNNNNNNNNNNNNNNNNNNNNNNNNNNNNNNNNNNNNNNNNNNNNNNNNNNNNNNNNNNNNNNNNNNNNNNNNNNNNNNNNNNNNNNNNNNNNNNNNNNNNNNNNNNNNNNNNNNNNNNNNNNNNNNNNNNNNNNNNNNNNNNNNNNNNNNNNNNNNNNNNNNNNNNNNNNNNNNNNNNNNNNNNNNNNNNNNNNNNNNNNNNNNNNNNNNNNNNNNNNNNNNNNNNNNNNNNNNNNNNNNNNNNNNNNNNNNNNNNNNNNNNNNNNNNNNNNNNNNNNNNNNNNNNNNNNNNNNNNNNNNNNNNNNNNNNNNNNNNNNNNNNNNNNNNNNNNNNNNNNNNNNNNNNNNNNNNNNNNNNNNNNNNNNNNNNNNNNNNNNNNNNNNNNNNNNNNNNNNNNNNNNNNNNNNNNNNNNNNNNNNNNNNNNNNNNNNNNNNNNNNNNNNNNNNNNNNNNNNNNNNNNNNNNNNNNNNNNNNNNNNNNNNNNNNNNNNNNNNNNNNNNNNNNNNNNNNNNNNNNNNNNNNNNNNNNNNNNNNNNNNNNNNNNNNNNNNNNNNNNNNNNNNNNNNNNNNNNNNNNNNNNNNNNNNNNNNNNNNNNNNNNNNNNNNNNNNNNNNNNNNNNNNNNNNNNNNNNNNNNNNNNNNNNNNNNNNNNNNNNNNNNNNNNNNNNNNNNNNNNNNNNNNNNNNNNNNNNNNNNNNNNNNNNNNNNNNNNNNNNNNNNNNNNNNNNNNNNNNNNNNNNNNNNNNNNNNNNNNNNNNNNNNNNNNNNNNNNNNNNNNNNNNNNNNNNNNNNNNNNNNNNNNNNNNNNNNNNNNNNNNNNNNNNNNNNNNNNNNNNNNNNNNNNNNNNNNNNNNNNNNNNNNNNNNGGAAGGAUAAAUGUCAAGUUUCCGCGGAUAAAUACGGAAGUUUUGAAGAUAAUUGUGAAGAUCGGGAAAAAUGGAAUAUCUCCAUUUUUAUGCUAUGACGGCUUAAGGGCAGAAGAGUAAAAGCGUAAACCGACCUUGGAGCUAGUAUAUAAGGAGUCCUAGGCGAGGAGCAGAAGAGAGAACUUUUUCAGAGCAAACUUAGCACUUAGAGCGAUUUAGGCAACUUUCCGUUUUUGUUAUUUCGAGCUGCGACUCAAUUAGGUUUAGCCGUCUUAGGGUUGCUAGAACUAGGAAUCUCGCCGACAGCUCUCGAGCCCAGGCUUAUACCUUGUUGUAACGCUCAGACGCAGAUUCGGAAUAAGAUCUAUUUUGCUCUCUUUUCGAUUUCUUAUUUUUAUCGUUGUUAUUCUCGUGUUCUGAUUGCUUGACGUGUGGUAAUUAACAGAUAUCCGGGUCCUCUGGGAAACUAGGGUUUUCUUAGUUUCCUUAUUUAAACGGAAAUCGACAGUGCGAAUUUCGGUUCCCACAAUGCAGUGGCUACUUCCUUUAUUUAAUACACUGUUCCUCCACUCUAGGCUUGAAGAAUGUUUUGGAUUCACUGGUUUUUUUGUCCUUCUGGUAGUGUGGCUUGCUGGCUCCAUAGCUAGACUUGUAACUUCUUCGUUUUAGCUGCUGCUCAGACAUGAAUGCUUUAUGUAUAAGUUCCUCCAUCUCGACUUGGUAAUGAACUUUAAGUUUGUCCAUGAUGUGGCUUAGACCACCCAUGAAUCUGGCCAUUGUUGCUUCUCUGUCUUGUUGUAUGUCAGCUCUCAGCAUAAGGGUUUCCAUCUCCUUAUAAUAUUCUUCAACUGAUCUACUUCCUUGAGACAGUGUCCUGAGCAUGAAGUGCAGCUCUCUAUGGUAGUGGUUUGGUACAAAUCUCUUUCUCAUGAUCACCUUCAUUUUGUUCCAUGUUUCAACAGGAAAAUAUCCAGCCCUUCUUCUUGCUGUAACCAAGUUAUCCCACCAACUUAGUGCAUACUCUUUGAACUCAGUAGGAGCAAGCUUCAUCUUGUACUCUUGAGUGUAGUUUCUGCAAUUGAACACAAGUUCAAUCUUCUUUUCACACUCUAAAUACUCUUAUUGUUCAGCAGUGCCUUUAAACUCAGGAAUCUUCAGUUUCAAACCACCCAGAGGAUCAUUGGUUUGUGGCCUAUCUCCUAUGUCUUGCCUUCUUCUUCUGGAGCCACAGGAUCGGUUUGAAUGGCUAUAGUAGCUUUCUGUAGCAGGUUGGUUUGCAAUUCUUCUGGGUCUUUCCCGAUCUGAAUGCACAAUCUCAGCCAUGAAGUUCUAUAGUCUCUGAUCCAUAAAAGUAAUCAUGCAUGCAGUCAAAGCAUCGAGUAGCAGUUGAUCCAUUCCAUUGUUCCAAUUGUGUUUUUCUCCCAUGGUUCCUGUUGAUUUUCCAAACACAAACCCAGCAAAAGAGAUCACAUAAACAUAAUAUACCAGAAAGUAAUAGAAUUGAAUCUAGAAUAAUCAGAUUCCAAUUUUGCAAUAAAAACCCUAAUUUUUUUCUCUCUACAAUUUUAUGAAUCUAGUUCACUUAUUUAGCAAUUUCAACACUUGUUCUAGGUAGAUCUGAUCAUAAUAAAUAUGAAUCUAACAAGAUCUGGAUAGAUUAAUCACGAAUCUAAGAAGAUCUAAACUUUAGAACGGAUCUGAUAACAAAAUACGAAAAGUCUAAAAGUUGCAAGUCUAAAAGUUGCAAAACUGAAAAAAAAACACAACCUGAUGAUGGAGAUCUGCUUUGAUACCACUUGGUGUGAUCCUGGAUAAGAUGAUCAUGUCCAUGAAUGCUCUCCAACGAUUGCGAUGAUGAAACAAGUAGUGGAUUGAGAUGAUACUUCUCAGAGUUGCGGAAUGGCUCCUAGACUAUCUGAGUUUGCUUGUAGAUGUAGAAACGAGAUCAUAACAUGAACAAGACAAACAAUGAUCAAACAAGAUUCAGAGAUAAUUUUUAACAGAAAAGAGUUUGAUAAUCUUAUUGAGUUUUUAACCAGAUAUAUAAAGAGAAGAAGACUGUACAUGCACAACUUCUUGGAAACACACAACUUAAUUAAUGCAAAUAAAAACUAGAGUUCAAAUUUAAAAGAUAAGCUUCUAGAUCCUUCUUUAUGGACAAAAAUUAGAAGAGAUAUUGGUCUGGUUUCAUUAAGAGGCUCAUGUGUAGUGUUGUGUCCAAGCGUCAUUAAAAACCUUGUUUGGAAAACCCAGUGGGACAAAACCAAACCAAGGAAAAGAGUGCAAGUCACAACAACUCUCUUGAUGAAUGAGCUAGGCGGCUUAAAUCACAACCAGUGUGGCUGGAUCAGCACACUCUAGACUGCCAUGGAUAGUGUGUAGGAGUUGGUGAAGAGCUUGCUGGAACCUUGGUUGCUUAAACCUACUCAACGGACCAAGUGGUACGUUUAAAACGUCAGAAUGACAUCCACGGGGUUGCAUCCAUAGAAUUGUAUCGACUGGAUUGCAUCUAUUUUGUAGCAUCCACCGAGUCACAUUCUUUGACUUCCUUAAGUUUUGGUACAAGUUGUUCUAUCUCCUUAGUUGCAUUAGUUCCUUUGCUUGGCAAGAUCACAUCAAGAGGUCUGGAAAUUAGAGUGGAUACAAAACCUCCCAUGGCAAAGGCCAGAAGAGUGGAUACAACCAGAGUUCACAAUACCAGAAACCCUACAGCAACAACUACAACAUCAUCAACAAACCCUAUGGAAAUUCCUACUACCAAAAUCAACCACAACAGACUAGAGAGAGCAAGAUAGAGCCCAUGCUUGAUCAAGUUCUUGAGGGUCAGCAGAAGUUGAUGGUGAAUUUCAAUGGGAAGAUAGUUGUUGUCUACUCAGAGCUGAACACAAAGUUUGAGUCUUUGAACACAUAUGUUUGGAAGUUGGAGACACAAGUGGUUAAGACUGCAGACACUAUUAAACGGUAGGAAGCCUUCAUGAAGGGUAAAGGAGAUGAAAGCACCACGUGAAUGUCAUCAUAGAUGAUGAUUUCUGGCAAGUGGUUAAGGAGCAGAAGCUUCAGGAGGGCGACUUCCAAGUCGAAAGCUCCAUGAGUUUCGACGGUUCACAUUGGUGUCGAUCGACGCCGAGCUUUGAAUAUCGACUGACGUACAUCGAUCGAUAAAAGAGGUUGCAGCAUGCACGACAGUCAGAAUCCUAACUCACGAGGAGUGCGCAGCUAAACACCCUCAUCCACCCAGACCCUGCCGUAUCAAGAAGUCUGACAUCGAUCAACAACCGGAUCCAGCCGAAGAUUGACAUCCACAUUCAACCGACGAUCGACGCAAUGCAUCUACCGUCGAUCGACGACAACCUCUGACCUACCAAGUGCCAUUACUAAAGAUAGAUGUAGCACGACUAAAAACACUCAGAAACCCAUCUCAACCUUCAGAAGACAUGGCAGAUAACUUCGAACAGCUUUCAGAUGAUGCACUAGAGACAAUGCAAGUUGAUCAGAUUUCUGAGAGGAGAACCUUGAGGAAAAAAAAGGAAAAGGAUCCUAAGCAUCUCAAGCGACGAGUUAACGAGAAGGAGAUGGACAGCUUCACCAAAAGAGUUCUCCGGAUACCCUUGGACAAGCCAUUCGAGGAGGCUUACCUUACCCACAGGCAAUGGAUGUUUUUCAGGGAAACCAAGGAAACUGAGCAGGACAUACAUAUGAUCUUCGACCAGAUCAGAGAGAAGAUGAAGCAAAGAAUUACACUGAAGAAGAAUAGUGAUCCUAGGAAAUUUACAGUACCUUGAUUGGUUAAGGGUAUUGAAUUUCCAUGUGCGAUGUGUGACACAGGUUCAUCAGUCAGCAUACUACCCAAGGUAAUGGAAGACCAUAUGGGUUUGAAGAUAGAGCCAUCGUAGGAUUUGUGGAUUAUUCUACGAGGAACUCAGGAGGAAUCAUCAAAGACCUUGAGGUGCAGAUUGAAAACGCACUAGUUCCAGUUGACUUCCAUGUCCUGGAAAACAAGCAGAAAAAGAAUCAUUCUCUACUGCUUGGGAGAGGUUUCAUGGCCACUGUAGGAGCAGUUUGCAACAUGCAGACAAAUCAGUUAUGUCUGACACUAAUAAAUCCUGAUGUCCACUAUGAUCCAGUCAGAGUUAUGAGACUACGGACGUCUGACACUAGGGUUAACACAUAAUUCAUUGCAGUAUGCUACUUCAAUUAUGAGGAUGAAUACGAAACCUAGUAUUCAGGAUCGAUAGACAGCGGGACUUCACCUUCGAUCGAUAUUGACAUUAAUCUACCGAUCGACAACAAGUCCAAAGAAUCGAUCGACAGUAUUCUUGCGAAUUAGACUUUCACUUUGCUAUCACACUGCUAUCCGCGCUUUGACGUUGCUACACAGCCCCAGACAGCGAUUGAUUACCACUACGGUGACACGAUCAGCAAACAAGGCAAUUAUUCUAUUGGUAGUUGGGCAUAGGAGAGCUUUCAUUAGAGUUUCGCAGUGAACACUGAACUACCUGAGACGAGAUCUGAUGAGUAUGACGAGGACUACCACAGAGAGAAGAACAUUGAGUACCAUCUUGCCAUGGAUAAUAGAGGACUUCUCCAUACAUCGUCUGUAGAUGUAACGUCAACAUUGAUCGACAGCAAGCCUAUGCCAUCGAUCGACAGCAAGCCUAUGCCAUCGAUCGACGUCAAAACCGGAAACCAGAGAGGAGCAGAUGCAACACUUUUUGCCCUAACCUAUAGAUAAGGAAUCUGUCUCAGCCGUCAGCCGCCAACGAUCGACAGCAGCAACAACCCAUCGACCGUCAUUCGUUACAAACAUCUAUCCGAAGACCAUUUGAAUAAUAAUACUGAUUACUAUAUAAUUCCUGAUGAAUUUGGUAUUUUCAGAGAUUCAGCAGAACGAGCACGAGGGAUGGAAGUAUCCUCAAUGUUUCAAAGGAAGAUUUUGCAGAAAUUUUUGCCAUGCAUGGAUCCGACCUCUUUUUCCAACCGAGGAAAGAAUCUGCUAUUCGACCAUCGAUUGACAGAAGAUCCUUUUCAUCGAUAGACGGUUUGGCCACGCCAUAGCAAAACAGCUACAACAAAUCAGAGAUUGAUGAGCUAGUAAAUGAAACCUACAAAGUUAUCAGAACGUCAGACAAUUUUCUUUCAAAGAGGCUUGAUGACAUCUACUACCCGUUCGACAACAGUAUCAAUUGGUUGACCACAUGCAUGGAUGAGAUGAAGCAAAACCUAUCCAUUCUUCAGAAACAACAUGAAGUCGGUGAAGAUAGAUUGAAAUCGAUCGACACUCACACUCAACCAUCGAUCAACGCUAACAUCUAAGCAUCGAUCAAUGAAGGACUAGCACCAUUCGAAGAUAGGCUACAAUCAUUCACCUAUCAACUAGAUGGUGUUUACCACCCACUACGUGAUGGUGUAGACUUCCUAACCACACGCCUGGACGCUUUGCAAUAGGAGAUGGUUAUGAUUCAGAGAUAACUCGAUUCUCAAGCAGAACCGUCACCAUCGAUCGACAGAAGAACUCUACCAUCGAUCGACGACGACUACACAACAAGACGAAGCAAGCUAGUUAUCGAGAAGUCACUACAAAAUAAGUUUGAUGAGACCACUUUCUCUCAAGACUUGCUGAAAGAAGAUGUCUACCAGGAGCUGAAGGACAUCACAGAAACAACAUAUGCCAGACUUGGAAUGCAACAUUACAACAUUGGGAAUCAUCAGCAUAUAAUGCAUGCAAGUGAGAUUGCUAGAGAAAGAUUGAAGAAUCAAUGGUUCAGAGGAGAUGAGGCCAUAAGAAGCUUCAUUGGCACUUGGUUCCAGAUGAGCAAAGAUGAAGUGGACACUUGCAUACAACCAAGUGGUCACUUUGAUCAUUACUAGCCAAAAGCAACCUCCAAAGUCAAGCUAAAUGACUAUAACAAAGCACUAAGUGGGAGGCAACCCACUAUUAGGUAUUUUCUAUAGCUUUAUUUAUUCUAUGUUAUUUAAUUACGUUUUUACGUUAUUGAAGGUCUAAAAAAAUAGAAAACCAGAAAACCUAAAAAAGAAAACCAAGGAGAGGUUACUUGUCAUCGACCGAUGAGACAAGGUCGACAUCGAUCGACAUCACGUCACUUGCACCGAUCGAUAGACACAUUCUUGUGUCGAUCGACAUCAACAUCAGCAAUUAGGUAUAUCGUUCUCCUUGUUACAUUAAGUACUUAUGAUUUAUAUUAUCACUAAACUUCGGCUAGAUAUACGCUGGUGACAGUAUAAUUUAAGUCUGGGGAUGAGGAGGUUUACUAAUAUUAUUUACCAAUGAGUUUUAAAAAUGUUUUUAUAAAGUUUUAUUAAGUCAAGAAAGAGAAAAUGAACUUCUACAAUGUUCCUUACUCAUCUAACAACUCUUUAGCACCAUUCUUUCAUUUAUUGACUGCAGAUUGUACUAGAGAUGCUAAAGUGGAUCAGCCUACCAGUUAUUCACACUUGCUGAGAAUGUUUGGAAAAACCAAAGCUGGCCUCCAACUUAAUCGAGCUUUGUUGGGGUCAAAAUCGGUUACGACGGAAUGAAUAGUGUUUUCCGACACAUGAUGAAUAGUGUUAUUCGAUGCUUGGUUCACGCUGUCGAUUGCUGUUGUUUGGAGGGUGUUGAUCAAUGCUUCCCUCGUAGGCUUACGGAUCAUGCAUGAAUCAGCAGGCUCCUCUUUGAAGAACCCAUAAAUCUUCUCUUCAUUGUUGUUGCUGGUAAUAAGAUGAAUGUACCUGAAACAAAAGAAAAAAAAUUAUCUGUUUUUGAACAAUAGUAAAACCUAGACUAAAUCUAACUAAAUAAGAUCUAAUGGUGAUUAAAGGGGCAACGGCGCCAAAUUUGAUAUCUCACUCAAAUUACCAUAAAGAGUGAUUUGUACUCUCUCAAAUAAGAGGUCAAGUUGUAGCACUUAGGGAUCAAAUUCACAGGGACUUAUAAGAUUAAGCUAGGUCAAAUGGUUUAAAUGUAAAUAGCAGUGGUGUGAGCAAAGUAAUUGCUCGAUUGAUUGGUUGGGGUUGGAUGGAAGGAUGGUUUGCUAGACUUAGGGUUUCUAUUCAGGCAAUCAGGAUUAUAUUAGUAUAGAGAUUAAGGUUGGAUAUUAUAGAACUCACACUAAGGAAUAAUCUAUCAACUCUCGCAUGUUUAGCUUAUCUAUUACUAAAUCUAAGAUCUCAGCUCUCGCUCUCGCAUGUUGAUCCUGAGAAAGUGUCGAUCACCGAUUCUAUAGGAAUGUCGAUCGAUACACCUUUCAAAUCAAGAUCGAUACUACUAACGAAUUGUCGAUCGACAACCCUUCUAGCAAGCUUUCGCGAGCGGGUUUCAACUCUGUUCACUAGGUUCCUAGAUCAAAUCUUGUCUUUCUCUAGUAAUCUUAGCACAAUAUAAAUGGUUCAUGUAAUAGACCAUGCUCUCGCUUGCGUCUAAUUAUCCUAACAACAUGAUUCUAAUUAGCUACUCUAGAACACAAGUAGUAAGUUCAAUCCAAUUGAUGGAUAUCCCAAAAAAUUAGCAAUUCUAUAUUUUGAGCUAAUCCCUCAUCCUAUCUGAACCCUAAAUCUAACAGGUGGAUUUAUUCAGACAUGAAGUUUGUCACAAAAAUCAUAGAUGAAUAUAUUCAAAAUAGAAAGCAAUAGAAUAUAAAAACCAAAGAAGUUCUAGGAGGACUCUGAAGGAGUUACUCCCUUCUCUCCUAACAUAAACUAAGAACAAGAUGUAAAGAAAGCGUAGCCGUCAACAAUGGCUUAGAAACACAAUAAAUAGUGUUUUAGGUCGUCCAUGGGUAUUCUGGUAAUUUGUGGUUGCUUCUGGGCUUAAUCCGGCCAUAUUUUAGAAUCACCAUCGAUCGAAACCAAGGGUGCACCGUCGAUCGAUGUUGCUUAAUCUCCUCGACAGCUUCCUCUCGUGAGGCAGACUGACCACUCUUCACCAAAAUGAACAUAACUUCUGCUACAGGAUGCUGAUUGAUCUCAAAUUGGUGGCAUUAGAAAGCUAACUAAAAUGUAUAUGUUGUGUCAAAAUAUCAGCUCAAUCUCACCAUGGGCAAGUCUCCAUACAUAGUUAGACAUCUGACAUGUAUGUGUAGUUCUGCACUCAAAGGGCUCCAAAACACCCCAAAAUCACCACUUUCCUCUAAAACAUACCUAAACCUGAAAAAAUACUAAAAAGACACCAAAACAACUAUAAUUUAUUUUAAAACACCUACAUUUCAUGCCUAAAUGUGGGUAAAAUCCAUGGUAUAUGAGCUGGAGACUGCUUGGGAAAACUACAAAAUGUCAGUUUUGUAUUUGACCAAAAUUUUGACUUCGUUGAAUAUGUUGGUUUUGUAUUUGAUUUAAAUGUUAAAAAAUUGACCAAAAUAAAAAAAAAAGUGUAGACUUCAUAUUCAGUAUACUAAUCUAAGAAUAAAAAACGGAGACCGCAUAUGAAGUCUACUAUUUUAUUUUGGUCAAAUGCAAAACUAAUCGGUCAGAAUUUGAUAGUAGACUUCAGGUGAAGUCUACACAUUUGUAGACCUUCAUCUCAAUCUGUAUGAACUUUAGAAAAUAUAAUUUAUAAGAUAAAAUAAUAGUAAAGUAAAUUAAUAGAGUUUGAAUAUGUAACUUUAUUUAAAUAUAAAUACAAAACACAUUUAUAAAUGUAAAUCUUUUAUUUUGAGGGGAGGAGAUAAAAACCAUGGAAGAAAUACAUGCAAAAUAAAUAUAAAAUUAUGAGAAAAAUAAACAUUAUACAAAAAAAAUUAAAGUUACCCUUGUUUUUGUAGACUUUUUUUGUAGACUUAAUGAAUCUACUAUAUCAUAUAAUUUUCAGAUAUGAAAAAUAUGUACAUUUGAAAAUGUGAAAAAUAGUUUAAAUCUGGAAAAAAACAUGAGAAUUAAAAAAAUUUUGUUUUUUUUUUUUUUGCAACAAACAUCUAUUCUAUUAGCUAUUCUAUUACUCAAACUUGAGGUGGUCUGGAUAACUAAACCGGAAUAGAACAACCAAUGUAACAAAGAGUCCUAUGAAAAGAUCUCGCAGGCUUAGCUAAAAAAUAUGAAAUUCCAUUUUUGUGUCCUUGGGAUAUGAGAUAUUUUGAAGUAUGAAAAACAUAUCAGCAGCGUCUUAAUAGCCUCCAAUUCUGUUGCAAAACUUGGCCAAACAUGAGAUAUUUUAUCAUGGCGAUCAAAUCCUUGCAGUCUAUUUCAAAGUGGUGACAUGAAGAAUAUUGUAGCAUGCUCUCCAUUCCCCAUCGCAUUGCUUCUAAUUCUGAAUGUAAAGGAGCCUCUUGCCUCCUUAAGUUUCGCGUUCCCAUGAGCUAAAUCUUUCAAUAACAAUCAUUCCAAACUCAUCCACGACCACUGAGCUGUGAGGUGGUAGUCCAUGAUCCAUCCACCAUGCAUAUAUUAUAACAUAAUUUUUAUAUUUAAAAAUAAAGCUCUUAGUAUUUUUUUUAUAAAACAGGUUUACCUAUUUUUGGUGAUAUAAUUUUUAUUUUCAUUUUCAAAAAAUAAUAUUUCAUUAUUAAUACUAUUUUAUGUUAUUUGCAUUAAUAAAUACCAAAGUUCAAAUUUUAAAUUCAUCGUUCGAGUUUUUAAAAGAUAAGUAAAAUCUAGAAAAAGUCAAAACCUAAAAAUUGAAAACAAAAUUCGUUUUUUUUUUGUCACAAACUGAAAACCAAAUUUUAAAAAGUAAAAACUAUGUAAACAGCUUAAAAUCUGCUUUGGAGAACAAGAAGACCAAAACAGCUGGAAGUUAUGGACACGGGCAUGUGGUUGUUUAUAUAAAUCGGUGAGAGAAUAGUGACUUCAUUAACUGCAUCCAUAUAAAGUUAUAGUUCUUUUUUUCUUUGUCAAAGAAUAGUGGCUUCAUUGUGGAACUGUGGCUUCAUUCACUUCAUCUAUACGUAAAGUCUUUAUAUCUGUACUUUGCACGGAACGGAAUGCAUGUUGUGUAUAUAAAUAAUUUUAGGAUUUUUUUUUGCAAAAUAAUUUAAAAGUUGAAGCAAAUAUAAAAAUAAUCUUUUACUUUUUUAUAUUUUACUAUUUAUCCAAAAGUUCAAUUUAUUCACGCAAAUACUAUUAUGUAUUAUUUAAGAAAAUGAUUUUUAACUAAGUGUUGAGAAUGUCCUAAAAUCAUUUGUACUUACUCUUGGUAAAGUUGUAACGUCAAGAUUCGACUAUCAUAUAAAAUAUUAGGUGGUUAUAAUGUUUUGCUAGAAACCACUUACAAUAUAUGAAUUGAGAAUUCAUUACUAAUAUUAUAUGAUCCUACAUGAUCACACACCUAAGCAAACUGGAAAAUAAUAAGUUGAAGUUUUAUAUAAAAUAUUAUAUAUAUGUGAUAUAUGUAAUACAUAUUAUAUACUUGGACGUGAGAUUCUGUGAGUUUCUUAAUGUGAUUAAGAAAAUAAACAAUUUGGACUUAGCCCAUUAUAAUGCCUAACGACAUUAGCUCACGUCUAUUAGUAUGUAUAUAUAUAAAGUCUUGCUUAUUGAAGAUUAACCUAAUGAAGAUGGCUGGCCGCACUUUACAAUCGAGACGUAAAGGAGUGAAGAAGAAAAUUGUUUUCUUCUUACGCAAGCAACAAUGAGUUCAUCAAAGUUUUGAGAUUUGAUAUCGACGACACUAGCAUCCCGAAUCACUCCAGUUUGUGUGCAUGUGGAUACCGGUAGAGAUACAACGUUUAGAGUGCUUUAAGUUUUGAUUUGGUUUUAUUAAUUCAUCUUUCUGUUGCAAAUAAUCAGGUAUAUUCGGAACCAUAAGAUCUAGAUUCAUUUCAGUAUUUACAUGAGAUCUAUGAAAACUAAAUUUAUAGGUUGAUUUAUAAAUCGUUAUAAACCCGUAUGAAUUCCAACAGUGGUAUCAGAGCCUUAGGGCCGUCUCAAAUUAAUUUUAGACCCUGUUCAAAAAAAAAUAUUAAUCGUAUAUUUUAUCAAGUAAUUUUAAAAUUUAAUAACUUUGUCUGAUUUUUUUAAUUAUAAACUCUAAAUUUAACAUUAUAUCUAAAAUUUUAAAGUUUCUGACCAUAAUUUAUCUAUAUAUUUUUUAAAAAUUUUAGACUUUUUUAUUUUUAUAUUUUGGGGCCCUGUUCGAUCGCUCCACUUGUGCAUGCUGUUAGAGCCUACUUGCAUAAUAUUGAUCUGAAUCUAGUCAGAUAGAUAUAUAUGAUAUAUUUAUUAAAACUGAUGUAGCGAUUUGGAUAGUUAUUAUAACUUGAUUAUAAUCAAUCGCUGUAUAAUAUUUUACAUACGAUUGAAAGUGUUUUGAUCACCUAUGUAAAUAUAUGAUUUAUAAGGGAUCACGUACUUCGUAGUUGCGUGAUUGCUAAAAUAAUUAAAUUAUGUGCAUAUGAGGGGAUCGUCCUCGUUCUUCUUAAUAGUCUCAAACUAUAACUUUCAUAAAUACUGAUUUAAGAAAUAGUCAAAAGUUCAUAGCUAAUAAACGUGUAUAGGAUACGGUUAUGCUAUGGCAGCUUGACAAUAUGUGUCUAUUUUAAUUUGUUAAAUAAUUACAUAUAUGUUUGAGACUAACUACGGAAAAUUCAAUACUACAUAUUAGCACGGCAUGAAUGAGAUAAAUAUGUUUGAUACGAUCAUUCGAUAUUUAUACAAUUAAUAUAUUCCUUGUGUAACAUCCCGAGUUGUGAUAUGUGAAAAGGCUUAAGAGAAUUGAUUUGGCUACCUAUGUCACCAAAGUUGACUUACCUUUUCCGGAGCACAUCCUGAAAGAACUCCAGAGUUAAGCGUACUUGAACUGGAGUAGUGGAAGGAUGGGUGACCUAUCGGGAAGUGAUUCGCGAUAGCGUGUGAGUGAGGCCAAAGCACGGGGAAAGGUCGGGUGGUGAUUGCAGGGUCAGUAAACAAUGAUUUCGGGCCUUGGAAAAUUAACGACCGGCCGUCAGAUGGGAUGGGACCCACGGGCCGAGAGAGCGGGCGUGGGUGGCCCAUUAGCCGUGGGCGGGUCGGGGUGUUACAAUUGGUAUCAGAGCGGGUUAAGAUCCCUUAGUUCUGUCCUAAGGGAUCAGCAUUUCCGACGUUUUAAAAAAAAAAACUUGUUUUCAUUAAAAGAAAAGAGUUUGUAAAAGUUUUGUAUCUUCUAACAUUCCUGAAAAUGAUUUCAAAACUACCCACUAUAUCUAUACGUUAUUAUGAUUUUGAUCAGAUCCAUUGUACUUGCAAAAUUUCUUUUUGAGCUUAAUUCAUUCAUUGGUUUUUAAAAGAUCCCCGAGCAAAGUUGUUCUCGCCUUGUGUGCCUCCCUUGUAUGAUGUGUGAUUGUGUGAGUUCCUUUUGUUAUCGGAUGUUAAGUUCGGAAGUCUAGGGCUUGGAAUUCGGGGACGAAUUCCGAUUAACAGGGGGGAAUUGUAACGGCCUGGUUCCUGGCCCAAAAAUUUUCAUAAAAGAAUGGGCUUCUCUACGGCCCAUUUGACAAACACCUAGGGUUCCCUUCAUCCUUUCCUAUAAAAAGAGAUGUAGCCCCUUCUUUUCUCUCAUUCUGAAACAUGAGCGAAGCUCUAUAGAGAUUUUGAGAGACUAGGAAACCCUAGCCAUCAAGCUUCUCUUUUCAUUUUCUCUCUUCUUCUCUCACGCCACUCUCUCUCUCUUUCUCUCUCUCUCUCUCUCUCUCUCUCCCUAUACUCUCUCUCCCCAUGGAUUUCUUCCUCUCACCUCGCCGCGAGUCCCCCGAGAGCAAGCCGAGCCGCCGGGGGUGUUCCAGAUCUGUUCAGAUCUCCUCUCCCUUGUCUCUUGUCUCCAGAUCCAGAUCCGGAUCUAGGCUAAGGUGGAGUGUCUCGAUCCCAACCUUCUUUCAUGAUUCUGUAUACUCCUAUAUGUUGGAGUUAGGUUUGAUUAGACCCUGAUUGGGAGUUAGGUUGAUAGGACAUGGUAUUGCUAGGAUGAUAGAUGAAUGGAUCAUGAUGCAUAAGAACCCUCAUACUGAUAAAUGGGACUUGAUGAACUGAAUUGAAUUGUUGUGGUGAUGAUUGAUUGGUAGUUGAUUCUUGUAUGUUUGGAUGUGUUGUCCCAUGUGUUGUUGUGAUUGAAGUUAGGAUGCUAGAGAGGAAUAAAUGCUAGGAUGAUAGAUGAGUAAUGAUUAUAAAAGUUAUUGAAGUAGAACUUGAAUGCGAUGUGUAUUGUGUGUGACACCGAUAACGGGUGGCGUCUAGUGAUUGAGUCCAAGUACAAGUAUGAAUGAAAAAGGAAAGUAAAUGAGAAUGGGAAGGGAUAAGUGAAAAUGAUAAGAAAGUGAGAGGAUAAGUAAAAGUAUGAAAGAAUGACGUUAAGGUUAAGCAUGGAUGGGAAAGCAUAUAGAGUCUAAGGAAAGUAUGUGGGGUAGUAGUCCACACUAGGUAUCCAUAGGAGAUGUGGCCAAUCCACAAGAAUAUGGA
rnacentral:lncRNA from 1 species